GCUCGGAUGGUGGAAAUAGGUAGACACGCAAGACUUAAAAUCUUGUGACCAUUUUGGGUUGUGCGGGUUCAAGUCCCGCUCCGAGUA
rnacentral:tRNA from 2 species